rnacentral:rRNA from 1 species
CAGUCGCCGCGGUAAUACGAAGGGUGCAAGCGUUAAUCGGAAUUACUGGGCGUAAAGCGCACGCAGGCGGUCUGACAAGUCAGAUGUGAAAUCCCCGGGCUUAACCUGGGAACUGCAUUUGAAACUGUCAGGCUGGAGUCUUGUAGAGGGGGGUGGAAUUCCAGGUGUAGCGGUGAAAUGCGUAGAGAUCUGGAGGAAUACCGGUGGCGAAGGCGGCCCCCUGGACAAAGACUGACGCUCAGGUGCGAAAGCGUGGGGAGCAAACAGGAUUAGAUACCCCUGUAGUCCCUGUCUCUUAUAC